rnacentral:rRNA from 1 species
AUUGAACGCUGGCGGCAGGCCUAACACAUGCAAGUCGAACGAGUGGCGGACGGGUGUGUAAUAUCUGGGAAACUGCCUGAUGGAGGGGGAUAACUACUGGAAACGGUAGCUAAUACCGCAUACCAUCAGAUGUGCCCAGAUGUGAUGAGCUAGUUGGUGGGGUAACGGCUCACAAAGGCGAAGAUCCCUAGCUGGUCUGAGAGGGUGACCAGCCACCAUGGAACGGAGACACGGUCCAGACUCCAACGGGAGGCAGCAGUGGGGACUAUGGCACAAUGGGCGCAAGCCUGAUGCAGCCAUGCCGCGUGUAUGAAGAAGGCCUUCGGGUUGUAAAGUACUUGCAGCGGGGAGGCGUUACCCGCAGAAGAAGCACCGGCUAACUCCGUGCCAGCAGCCGCGGUAAUAC